AUGUUGCAAUCAUGGCACGCUUACUAAUAUCCUGGCCUUCCUUGGUCCAUUUACAUAUUGGGAAUGGUUUUCCUUUGAUUGGUAUGGUAAGUCUGAUGACGCCACCUUGCCUUACAAAGAUACCUUCUUGGUAUCUUUCAUCAAGUUCAUAAUCAGGAUAUUCUGGAAAAAAAGCAGGCUCACCAGGUCCACCAGCAUUACAAGCUAGGACGCGGAACCUGUAUUCUGCACCCUGAGAAUCAGAGGUGGGGAGAGUGGUGGAAGGGCCUGUGGACUUACGGAUGCUGCUGCGACACUCUAUGACCUCAGACUGCAAGUAAGAGCCAAUCCCGAAGCGGUUUGUUGCAGCCACACGGAACACAUACUCAUUUCCUUCGAUGAUAGCCAAUGACUCUACUUCCUCCAUCACUGAUUGGCUCAUUCCAUUGUACUUCCAUGCUGUCCCUGGAGGACAGUGUGACAACUGGAGUGCCAGGAGGACCAGGAACUUUGAAUGGAUAUUGGGCUACAGUAGGCUCUGAAUUGAGAAUUUGGUCUCCUUUUUUCCAUGUCACUGUGGGCUUCGGUCGACCGAGCACUGGAAUUUCAACUUUGAUGUUGUCACCAGCUUUGGCAAUGACCAGUUUCUGAUAGAUGCCACGGAGAUCCAGCUCUGGAAGCAUUGUCUGCUCCUUGACAAUGACGGGUCUGCUUUCUCUAGGGGCACUUCUCCCCGCGCUGUUCACUGCCAUCACUUGGAAGGUUGAUGUUAUCUUUGGUCCAUGUCACUUCAGGAGCAGGACGACCUUUAAUUGGCACAAAUAUCCUAAUACUGAGUCCUGCUCUAACAACAAGUGUUCUUCGAAGCUCGGCAUCUAGUUCAAAAUCAGGAGCCAUCUCCCGUUCUACGAUUUCAACAUCUGGAAUCACCGCUGGCUCCCCAACACCUGCAUCGUUGAUGGCACUGAUUCUGAAGUUGUAUUUUUCUUUAGUCUGAAGAUCAGGAACAACGAACUGAGUGAUUCUGAGGGCGGUUCCUGUGGUAUCUUUUAUCCAGGCCUCGUCUCCUACUUUUUGAUGCUCCACGACAUAGCCAGUGAUUUCAAGUCCACCAUCAUAAUGAGGCUUGCCCCAUGCCAAAGAAGCAGAUUUCUUGGUAGUAUCAGUGACAUGCGGAUUUGAAGGUGGUCCUGGAGGAUCUGAGAAAGAAACAAAGACACAAAAGUAUAUAUUCAGAGUUUGGCUUUUGGGUAAUUUAGAUAAAAUAUUGGCACUCUGGAAUGAACGGUGUUGAAAAAGACAAAUACUAACAUGCUGCAUCUUUCAUCAGAACAGAAUCU
ensembl:lncRNA TTN-AS1 TTN antisense RNA 1